UGGCGUGAAACAUGUACAGUAGGUUUUACUUACAGGUGAGCAGUGUGAGCUGGGACAGUAAUCAUUUUUCUGCAAUUGCAAUGUUCCAACAUAUAGUUUCAUUAAAAAAAUGUAUCUGCUCUCCUCGAGUAGUGUUUGUACAAUUUAUAGCUUUUUCAGACUGAAGAAAUCUCAUUAGCCUCAUUUUAGUUUUAACAUGGGAAUGUCCUAUAGCCUGAUCCUCCACAUAGGUGCUGGAGAGGGUUCAGCUCUGAAGUCUGUAGGUGUCGCAACAGGUUACACAUGCUCUUAACAGGACAUUGACAACUUCACUUACGACCUUGCUGACCUGAAGCCAGUUUCUAACUUGGAGUCUGACUUUGUUUUCCCUCCCCUGACUAAUGUUAACAUGAACUAUCUAGCCAUGUGUGAAAAACAAGGUAUGUACUACAACUAGAGACAAGCUCAUGGCUCUAUAGGUAAUUUUACUUUUCAACCUUUUUAAGAAAAUACAAUAAAAAAUGUGGUUUCUUCAGGCAACAUAACCACUGACUACUUUGUUUUUGUAUCUGCAGAUCCAUGUGAGUAGAUGCACUGUGGACCUCACAGGCUGUGUGUAAAGAAGGACGGAAAGCCUGUCUUUGCUUCAGAGUCUAACAUCUGCUCUGUAUAAGGGAUUCUUACUACCGCACCUUCGUCGGUAGUAACACUUUGCCGUGAUUGUGGCUAGUAUAUGUCCAUACUGUCUUGCUUUUGCAGAUCAAUAGUCAGCAGAGGAACCUGCCCCUAGCCCUGGCCGCCGGCUCUCUGCCUUUAAACCCUAGCAGCUCCAGCGUUGUCUUGGAAACAGACUUUGGCCUGAUGCUGCGGUAUGACUGGCAUCACAACCUUGAAUUGGAAGUGGCACCGGAGCUGUCUGGUUCACUGUGUGUUCUCUGUGGAAACUACAGCCACAAUGCAACUAAUGACUUUGCCACCCCUGAUGGAACUGUGGCGGCUGUGGACUUCGCGCUUCGCUGGAAAGUGGACUGCGGCGCCUCAUGUCCUGUGUGCAGUACAGGCCAAGUGAACUCUAAACCUACAUUGGGUUCGGUUUCAGGCUGCUGCAGAGCCACGUCCAUGUUGUUCCUGAACAGGACGUCUGCAGCUGCAAGGCUGACCAAUGUGCUGCUGAUGGAGCUCCUUCUGCUGUCUGUAGGUCGAUGCAGGUAUACUCUGACAUAUGUCAGAGGCCGGCUACCUCCCAGUGAAAGGACGGCUAUCUGCUCAGUGGCAGCCAUUGUGUCCCAGACAGCAGGUGUGGCUGCAGCCAUCAAGGUCUCUACUACCUCCCCAAGGAGAUGUUCUGGAUGGACCGCCAGUGUCGGAAGCAGUGCACCUGCCAGCCUUCCUCCAAGAAUGUCACCUGUGUCCAGGCCCAGUGUCAGGAGGACAAGGUGUGCAAGAUUCUGGCUGGGCUGCCAUAAGGAAGGGCUUAGGGUGUGCACAGCUCAAGGGGAUCGGCAUUACACCAUUUUUGACGGGAACAGGUGUGUCUUCCAAGGCACCUGUGCGUACCAGCUGGUGAGGCACUUCCCUAGCUCGGGAGACCUGCCUGGUUUCAGUGUGGUGACACAGAACAUGAGGAGGACGACACCAACACUUCUUAUUCCAGAAGGGUCAAUAUUUUGAUUCAUGGUUACUCUAUUGAGAUCUCUCAUUACUGGGAUGAAGUAGUUGUGGUCAAUGGGAUUAUUUUGAGCCUUCCCUCAGUGUUGAGCCAAGGUAAAGUGAAGAGCUCUCCACGUGUAUUGAGACUGUCUUUGGUGUCCUGGUCACAUACAACUGGAACCUCCUGACUGUCCAAGUGCCCAGGGUCUUCUCUGGCUCACUCUAUGGCCUGUGUGGGAACUUCAACGCGGACCCAGAGGACUAUCUAACAGACGACGGGGACAUCUAUGGCUGUGAGGCGCUGGAAAACUAGUAACGUUGUUGAAUGUGUGGAUGUGACGACAAUGAACAAUCCCCAAUGCCCCAUCAGGAACAGGCUCUCUAUUUAGGCAGGGACUACUGAGGGAGUGUUCCAGAACUGCCACGGGAUGGUCAACCCCAAACGCUGCCUUUGACAACUGUCUACGACCUCUGCUACAACAAUGACAAGCAGAAUGCCCUGUGUCAGAUUCUCUCAAGUUACACCGCUGCUUGCCAGGAGGAAGGGGCAAACAUAGAUGAAUGGAGGCUUCAGAUUAUUGUGGUCUGUCCUGUCCAGCCAACAUUGAAUACAACCUGUGCUCCAUCCCUGUGCCCAACAAUUGUGUGGCGUCUCGUGUAAACCUGGGUUCUUCCAUAGUGGUGUGUCCCCAACACUGAGUGCGGCUGCCUCUGACGGUUUGUGCCACAAGAUCAAGGCAGUGUUUUACGCCCAUGAUCAUUGCCAGGUUGCUUCUCUUGUCGGUCAUGGCUAGCUACCAUGCACUGACACCACCUGUUCCAGUGGAACAGAGUGUAGGAUCCAAAAUGGACCCUGUGACUGCUAUCCAGCGCCAGUUUCAGGGAAGUGCAAAGUGGUGGGAGGCAGGCACUUGGACCUAUGAUGGGCAUAGCUUUGAUCUCCAUAUGGGCAUAUCAAGAAGCCCCCAUUUCCUAAACCAGACAUAUGCCAAGAAUGGAGCAGAUACAUUUUCAUAUAUACAGCAAGGGCAGCUACACCUGAGGUACAAGGGACUGAAUGACUGUGGAACUGCAGCAGAGGGGGAUGGUUGAGGUGGAAAUGGACAAUGGGGCAGUGAUCACGUACAGUGGACCUGACUUCAUACAGCUGUUAUCUCCUCCUGCCUACGCUGGUAAGGCAUGUGGGUGGUGUUGAAACUUCAACAGCACUGCUACAGAUGACACUCAGAUGGUCCGUGACGUUUUCCUGUCUGGGGUCAUCUGCCCAGAGUGUAACUGGACCUUGGCGGCUGAGUUCAAGUUGGAGCAUUUCUGUGGAGUCCUCUCAGCUCCUGCUGGCCUAUUCAGAGACUGCCACGCCACGGUAGACCCACAACCUUUCUUGGACAACUGUGUAAAGGCCCCUGUGUGUGUCUUGAAGGGAUAUGGCAAAGUACUGUGGCAGCCUGAAGGAUUAUUGGGGCGGCAGGGUAGCCUAGUGUUUAGAGCGUUGGACUAGUAACCGAAAGGUUGCAAGUUUGAAUCCCCGAGCUGACUAGGUACAAAUCUGUCGUUCUGCUCCUGAACAGGCAGUUAACCCACUGUUACUAGGCCGUCAUUGAAAAUAAGAAUUUGUUCUUAACUGACUUGCCUAGUUAAAUAAAGGUAGAAAAAAAAUCUAUGUUUGUAUUUUAUGAAGCCGCAGCCAAGGUCUAGCCAUGGAGGGGAGACGAAUGCUGUAAGUGGAUGAUGCAAGAUCCUUUCUGGCUUAAAACUGAAUUCAACAUGUAUUAUGUUUACAAAGACAAAAUGUCUUUCCCCUCCAUACAGCCAUGUCAUGCCCAGUGAACUCUCACUACAAGGUGUGUACCAAUGCCUGCCCUGAAACCUGUGCCAAUACUUCUGGUUUGGUCACCAGUCCUUCGACUUGUGUGGAUGGGUGCCAGUGUGAGGCUGGGUAAUGUGCUCAGUCAUGAUCACUGUGUCAAGCCUGUGCAGGGUGGCUGAUUCCAGACUGGAUGCUAUUAUGAGGUGUGUGUGUGGAACUGGCAGAAGCAACGGUUUAAUGGUUCAGUCAGACUGGCUUUUGUAUUGUACUCCCAAAUUACUCUAUGUGUAGCUGGUUUGUUUCCAAUCCCAAACUAUACUGAACAAAAAUAUAAACGCAACAUACAAGAAUGUCAAAGAUUUUACUGA